rnacentral:lncRNA from 10 species
GCUGCGUGCGGCUGUGGCUUCUGGCCGGACAGAAGUCGGGGUACAGAGGGUCUGGUCAGGGCGGCGCUGGGCAGCCGCGGGGGAAGUUAUCCCAGUGUCAGGGCGGGAACUGCGGGCCGGGGCGGCCCUCUCCACGCCCCAGCGACGGAGCUCCGGCCACUGCCAACUGCUUGUCAUUCACUUGCUGUUUACUGUGUGCCAGGCACUGUGCUAGACUCUUGAGUGUACAGUGAUGGUUUAGCCUGGGGAUACAGGGGUACAGUGAAUUCUCGUGGUCCUUGGCCUUGUGGAGCUUACAAUGCACUAUAGGAAGCUGACGUUAUUAGAUGCUUAAAUGGAAAGUGAAACUAUGAUAAUGAAAGGUAUAAGAUGCACGAAGACCCAUAAUAAGGGAAACUAUUGUGGAUGUGGAUUUAGGAAAGGAUUCCUACAUGCGAUUUACAAGCCAGGAAACGCGCUCAGGCUGAGAAAUAACCCAAAGAGUAGGCGUCUGCACUAACCUACUUCAAAACCCAUGAUCUUUCUUUCGCAUCAUGCUGCGAGGUCCGGAACAUCAAACAUCAUCUGUUUGGGAAUUCUUUUGAAGGGGAUACUUCAAGGUGGAAAAGGAAGUUGCUGAGCCGAGUUUUCAAGUGCCCCUUCCAAAGGUCCUUUUAUAGCUCUACUGACAAUUUUUGCUAAGAAUAUUUAUCAUAAAUAUAGAGCAUUUCUUCUG